rnacentral:ncRNA from 1 species
GUGUGGUAUGAAAGGAGAGAAGAUGAGCACUUGGAAAGGAUGGAAGAGGCCUUUGCAGGCUAUACCAAAUGCACACAGUCAAGGCACUUCCACCUACUUUGUGGCAUCUAACUAUGUUUGA